rnacentral:misc_RNA from 1 species
UGAGAAUGGUUCCCAGGGCGUGCAGUCGCAGCAGUCGCACCAGAUCUGGCAGCAUGGCUACUGAUGUGUUAUUCUUUGCCUGCAUCUUCUGGUUCCUUGGGCUGUGUCUGCUGAAGGCUCUCGUGCCAGAAUUAGUCUGACUGUUGCUUUUCUGUGCUGUAUUUUAGAUGCAUGUGUGUUUUUAACUUAAUUGUGUUUGUACGUGUGUGACUAAUUUGUGUCGUUAAUGUCGCCUACGGUGGAUAUCGUUUAGUGUGAG